rnacentral:lncRNA from 1 species
UUCUAUUUCUACUUCACUUUCAACAACACUUGGAUUUUUGGCUUCAAAUCUUCAUUUUUAAGGCUGAAAGGUAUAUAUUUUCAACUUUUGAAAUUUUUGAAUUUAUGGUUAUAUUUUCAUAUUUUAUUUCCUAAUUUCUUCAAGUUAUUUUUCUUGGAAAUAUUAGGUUUUUGUUGAUCUUCAUGUCUCCAAGCUCACCAAGGUAAAGAAUCUUUACAUUUGGAAUAGUUGAUAUGAUGGGUUGGAGAAUUAGACUAGAAAUUUAGGUUAAAUGUUAGGUUAGAGGGUAGAUUGCCUAAUGUAAAUUUAUUAGAAUUAUUAGAUUCAAUUUAUGACUUGAUUGAGGUUGUUAUGGUUUAUUGGUAAAUAUAGGUUUUAAUGGUGUUUUGGGACUACCAGGAUUAAGACUUUGUGGACAUUAGUCUUGUAAAUUGCCCUUGUUGAGGUGAGUGAACUUGCAUAAAAAUAUUUUGGUAUUAAAGCGCAUGUGUUUGAAUGAAUUUCAUGAAAUGUUUUAUUAGCCUUUUCUUUAAAAUAUGCAUGGGAACAAGCCCUUGAUGAAACAUUUUUACAUUAUGGAAUGUGACUGUGACGAAUCCAUGUGCUAUUGUAUUAUGUUGGUAUAUAUAUAUAUAUAUAUAUGUUGUGUGUUGAUAAUUAUGAUUGUGCAUGCAGGAUGUGGGGGUGCACACGAUGAUGAUGAUGAUAUAUGCCAUGUGCGUGAUGUUGGGGGAGCACAUGAUGGCAUUAGUUGUGAGAGAUGUGGGGGUGCACACGAUGACUUCGGCUAUGUGCGGUGCAGAGUGCACAUGAGCUGGGUGAGGUGGUUGUUG